CCUACGGGUGGCAGCAGUGAGGAAUAUUGGUCAAUGGCCGGAAGGCUGAACCAGCCAUGCCGCGUGAAGGUCAGUGCCCUAUGGGCGUUAGACUUCUUUUGUGCGGGAGCAAUAAUGGUCACGUGUGGCCAGACGAGAGUACCGUACGAAUAAGCAUCGGCUACCUCCGUGCCAGCAGCAGCGGUCAUACGGGGGAUAACAGCGUUGUCCUGAUUUAUUGGGUGUAAGGGGUGCGCUGGCUGGGACGUAAGUUAGCGGGGAAUUGCCCCCGCUCAACGGGGUGAAGUGCCAUUGAUAAUGGCUUGCUGGAAUGCGGAGGACGUGGGAGGAAUGUGUGGUGUAGCGGUGAAAUGCAUAGAUAUCACACAGAACACCGAUUGCGAAGGCAUCUCACGAAUCCGCGAUUGACGCUGAUGCACGAAAGCGUGGGUAUCAAACAGGAUUAGAUACCCUGGUAGUC
rnacentral:rRNA from 1 species